UACGGAGGGUGCAAGCGUUAUCCGGAUUUACUGGGCGUAAAGGGCGCGUAGGCGGCCACGACAAGUCACUUGUGAAAUCUCCGGGCUUAACUCGGAACGGUCAAGUGAUACUGUCGGGCUAGAGUGCAGAAGGGGCAACUGGAAUUCCCGGUGUAGCGGUGAAAUGCGCAGAUAUCGGGAGGAACACCAAUUGCGAAGGCAGCUCGCUGGGACGUUACUGACGCUGAGACGCGAAAGCGUGGGGAGCAAACAGG
rnacentral:rRNA from 1 species